UGUCGGUCACUGCGUCUUCCGGAAGUGGAUCCCGGCUGCGCUGUAAGACUCCCGCGUACGCUGAGCCCGGCGCACACCUGCCGUCCGGUGUCUUGUCCCAACACGAGUAUAACACCGCGUAUCUGGGCAGAGGCAAUAGAUUUGACCACGUCCUUCGUGCCAAACUUCUUCCCCGUCGGUGUGUCGAACAGGAUCUGCAUCCGCUGUGGCACGUUGUCGUCUGCUGACGUCAAAUGACCUUCACCAAUCGGACACCACAUGCCAUAAAAUUUCCCGCCAACUGAAAUGACGCGAAAGAAUUGGUUCGAUUAAACUAUUUGAUAAUACGUAAACUGAGCAUAAUAAAAAAAAGUUCUGAUUGUUUUUCAUCGAGUAUCAAGUUAUUAAAUGGAAACAAACUGA